rnacentral:rRNA from 1 species
UUCUGGCUCAGGAUGAACGCUAGCUACAGGCUUAACACAUGCAAGUCGAGGGGCAGCAUUGGAGUAGCAAUACUUCAGAUGGCGACCGGCGCACGGGUGAGUAACACGUAUCCAACCUGCCGCUUACUCGGGGAUAGCCUUUCGAAAGAAAGAUUAAUACCCGAUGGUAUAAAGAGUUCGCAUGUUCUCUUUAUUAAAGAAUUUCGGUAAGCGAUGGGGAUGCGUUCCAUUAGAUAGUUGGCGGGGUAACGGCCCACCAAGUCUACGAUGGAUAGGGGUUCUGAGAGGAAGGUCCCCCACAUUGGAACUGAGACACGGUCCAAACUCCUACGGGAGGCAGCAGUGAGGAAUAUUGGUCAAUGGACGAGAGUCUGAACCAGCCAAGUAGCGUGAAGGAAUGACUGCCCUAUGGGUUGUAAACUUCUUUUAUAAGGGAAUAAAGUGCAUCACGUGUGAUGUUUUGUAUGUACUCUGCGAAUAAGGAUCGGCUAACUCCGUGCCAGCCGCCGC